rnacentral:misc_RNA from 1 species
GAGACAAGCAUAUGACUACUGGCAGGAUCAACCAGGUAGCAUUCCUUCGCGACGCCGACGCCCGCAUGAGACCCGACAGGCCGUAAGGCCGCGGGCUCAAGACGGGCACGGCAGUCGUUCGUGUCGAUGGACAAAUGCGUUGCUUGGGCAAACRGAGCUAUCAAAUAGACCCCGCACCCRCACAUAACAUUCUGCAUCCGAGAGCACGGGCAAUGCACCUCAUGGGCCGAGGCAGCGACGCAGCUGGGCGAAGCAUGCCGGGAACACGAGGCUUGCCUGAUGUCCACCCCAAAACCCGUGAGGGCAGGGGGCGGAAAGGGACUAACGAAACCAUCGGAUUCCUUUCGAUAGGUAAGCAACACAGGAUACCGAA